CAAUAGCGUAUAUUAAAGUUGUUGCAGUUAAAAAGCUCGUAGUUGGAUUUCGGGGUGGCCUGCCUGGUCCACCGCAAGGUGAGUACUGGUCAGCCGCCCUUCCUCUCGAAAGCCCCGACUGCUCUUCAUUGCAGUGGUCGGGUAGUUCGGGACGUUUACUUUGAAAAAAUUAGAGUGUUCAAGGCAGGCUAUCGCCUGAAUACAUUAGCAUGGAAUAAUGGAAGAGGACCUCGGUCCUAUUUUGUUGGUUUCUAGGGCCGAAGUAAUGAUUAAGAGGGACAGUUGGGGGCAUUCGUAUUUAAUUGUCUGAGGUGAAAUUCUUGGAUUUAUGAAAGACGAACUAGUGCGAAAGCAUUUGCCAAGGAUGUUUUCAUUAA
rnacentral:rRNA from 1 species